GACGAACGCUGGCGGCGUGCCUAACACAUGCAAGUCGAGCGAAUGAAGUUCCUUCGGGAAUGGAUUUAGCGGCGGACGGGUGAGUAACACGUGGGCAACCUGCCUCAUAGAGGGGAAUAGCCUCCCGAAAGGGAGAUUAAUACCGCAUAAGAUUGUAGUACCGCAUGAUACAGCAAUUAAAGGAGCAAUCCGCUAUGAGAUGGGCCCGCGGCGCAUUAGCUAGUUGGUGAGGUAAUGGCUCACCAAGGCGACGAUGCGUAGCCGACCUGAGAGGGUGAUCGGCCACAUUGGGACUGAGACACGGCCCAGACUCCUACGGGAGGAAGCAGUGGGGAAUAUUGCACAAUGGGGGAAACACUGAUGCAGCAACGCCGCGUGAGUGAUGACGGCCUUCGGGUUGUAAAGCUCUGUCUUCAGGGACGAUAAUGACGGUACCUGAGGAGGAAGCCACGGCUAACUACGUG
rnacentral:rRNA from 1 species